CCUACGGGGGGCAGCAGUGAGGAAUAUUGGUCAAUGGACGAGAGUCUGAACCAGCCAAGUAGCGUGAAGGAUGACUGCCCUAUGGGUUGUAAACUUCUUUUAUAAAGGAAUAAAACGAGGCACGUGUGCCUUUUUGCAUGUACUUUAUGAAUAAGGAUCGGCUAACUCCGUGCCAGCAGCCGCGGUAAUACGGAGGAUCCGAGCGUUAUCCGGAUUUAUUUGGUUUAAAGGGAGCGUAGAUGGGUUGUUAAGUCAGUUGUGAAAGUUUGCGGCUCAACCGUAAAAUUGCAAUUGAUACUGGCAGUCUUGAGUACAGUUGAGGUAGGCGGAAUUCGUGGUGUAGCGGUGAAAUGCUUAGAUAUCACGAAGAACUCCGAUUGCGAAGGCAGCUUACUAAACUGCCACUGACAUUGAUGCUCGAAAGUGUGGGUAUCAAACAGGAUUAGAUACCCUGGUAGUC
rnacentral:rRNA from 1 species